ACUGCCCGGCGGGGCCUUUGUCUCCCCAGGGCAGGGCCUGGUGCUGGUCCCCGCCUUGGCCGCCUGGCCCCCAGCAGGCCUGGCCGGCUCCGCAGGCUGCUACCCGAGCCCUCCUCACACGCUAAGCCGGGAAGACAGCAGGGAGAACCUCGCUGCUCUAGUGGGCCUGGGCCGGGGCCAGGGCCAGGGUCAGAGGCGGGGAGUCUAAGAGCAGGAAGGGGCUGUUGCAGGGGAAGGGGCUGAGAAGGAAAAGAUGGAGAUGUCCCUGGACAGUGGGGCUGAGUCCGAGGAGGGGAAGUUGGAAGUGAGCGGAGAAUCGGAGGGAGACCGGGGAGGUUUGCACAGUUGCCAUAUUAUUUUAACAUAUAAAUCCAGGAACUGAGAGCCGAGGGGUAGCCCAAGCACUAAAUGAAACCUGAGAAGUUGACAUGAUCAGCCUGGAAGAACCUGGGAAGCUGUAGCAACUUUAAGGACUGAAAUCUGUGUCUCCACCCUAUCAGGACUCACAGGUUGACAACGCUGUUAUGUGUAAUGGAAUUGGAAGGUGCUUCUUAAAGUGUCUGGUGGGAACGCUCCUUCCCCACUGUCCACA